UACGUAGGGGGCUAGCGUUGUCCGGAAUCAUUGGGCGUAAAGAGCGCGUAGGCGGCCCGAUAAGUCCGUUGUAAAAGUCGAGGCUCAACCUCGAGAUGUCGAUGGAAACCGUCUGGCUAGAGUCCGGAAGAGGAGUGUGGAAUUCCUGGUGUAGCGGUGAAAUGCGCAGAUAUCAGGAAGAACACCUAUGGCGAAGGCAGCACUCUGGGACGGUACUGACGCUGAGACGCGAAAGCGUGGGGAGCGAACAGG
rnacentral:rRNA from 1 species